AUGCGCUGCUACCAUGCAGUCGAGCGGGGCUUCGGAGAGAGCGGCGCGGGUGAUAGUAACGUGUGGGGAGGUUCUUUUGUCUGCCGAAUAGUCUGAAUGGACGUUGUUUAAUACCUUAUGUUGCCUGUUGGGUAUAGAUUUAUCGGAUACGCAUUCGCCCGCUUUAUGUUACUUAGUUGGGGGGGAAAUGGCCUACCAAGUCUACUAUCUAUAGCUGGUUUGAGAGGAUGAUCACCAACUCUGGGUCUGAGGCGCGGCCCACUCUUCUACGGGGGGCGGUGGUGGGGAAUUUUGUACAAGGGGUGCAACCCUGAUCCAUCUGUGCCGUGAGAGUGAUGAGUGCCUUAGGGUUGUAAAGCUCUUUCUCCUGAGAUGAUAAUGACAGUACCUGGAAAAAAAACCCCGGCUAACUCCGUGCCAGCACCCGCGGUAAUACAGAGGGUGUUAGCGUUGUUCGGAAUUACUGGGCGUAAAGCGCGCGUAGGCGGUUUAUUAAGUUAGGGGUGAAAUCCCGGGGCUCAACCCCGGAACUGCCUUUAAUACUGCUUGUCUAGAGUUCGAGAGAGGUGAGUGGAAUUCCGAGUGUAGAGGUGAAAUUCGUAGAUAUUCAGAGGAACACCAGUGGCGAAGGCGGCUCACUGGCUCGAUACUGACUCUGAUGUGCGAGUGUGUGGAGAGCAAACAAGAUUAUAUACUGUGGUAGUCCACGCUGUACAAUAUGAAUGCCAGUCGUCGGGUAGUAUACUAUUUUGUGACACAUCUAACAGAUUACGUAUUCCCUCUGGAGAGUACUCGUCGAGAGAAUAACACUCAGAAGAAUUGACGGGGGGCUCACACAAGCCGUAGAAUCAUGGUGUUUUAUCUCAGAGACAACGCACAAGAAUCAUUACCCACCUCUUGAACACUCCUG
rnacentral:rRNA from 1 species